GAACAUCAAGGAAAAAGUCUCCUUUUUCCCUUAAAACAAGUCAUCCUGCUAAAAUAACAAUAGCAACAUGUAACACAUGUAAACUUUCAAAUUUUAACAAAACAAAUGCUUACAUAUUUGCAUUUACAACCAUAUACCCAUCAUCAACAUGCACACCAUCCCAUCAUCAUCAUCAUCAUGCACAUCAUCCCAUCAUCAUCAUCUCAUAUGCAACGGCUUAUGCUAUUGUCACUAGGGGGUGGGAGAUCAUGAAGCAUCCCCCCCUUCACUCGGCAAUAGGUGCACUUCACUCCAGAUCACGAAGCAACGGAGCAGUCCCUUUCCUCAUCUUCUAAGCUUCCCCUCCCCCCUUCACUCGGCAAGAGGUGCACUUCACUCCGGAUCACGAAGCAACGGAGCAGUCCCUUCCCUCCUCUUCCAAGCUCUUGGGCGAAGAGUCAUACUUCGCCACAGAUCAUACCUAUCAAAGCACUCAUAGGAUGGAAGAUCACGAAGCAUCCAACCUUAUAAGCUACGGAGGCAACAACGGCUUAUGUGCACUCCCACUCACACAUAGCCAGGUCAGCAACGGCUUAUGUGCACUCCUACUCGCACAUAGCCGAGUUAGCAACGGCUUAUGUACACUCCUACUCGCACAUAGCCAGGUCAGCAAUGGCUUAUGUGCACUCCUACUCGCACAUAGUCGGGUCAGCAACGGCUUAUGUGCACUCCUACUCGCACAUAGUCGGGUCAGCAAUGGCUUAUGUGCACUCCUACUCGCACAUAGCCGGGUCCAAAUCAACAUGUAAAGAAGCAUCUAAUGCAUAUCAUGCAUUUAAUCAUAUUGUGAUAACACAUAAAUCAUUGUAUAGCACAUUUUCGCAAUAUAAAAUCAUUUUACUAAAAGCUUGUUCCCAUGGUACAUUUUCUAAGACAUGUUGGAUAGAAUCUUUCAUAUUCCCCAAAACAAGUUUGAAAUGCAAGUCCACUCACCGAUAUUAGGAGUAGAAAUACUCUUAUUUUCAGUCCGCAGGUACAGUCCUUUACCUGUAUCCAAUGGCUCACCAC
rnacentral:lncRNA from 1 species